AGUACAAUUGCCAUGAUACCAGUAACACGGUAGACAGCGGAGGGGUAGGCUGCUGCCGCCUCACCUUAUUCCCUCUGGUCCUAGUGAUAGCGUUCAUCCAUUUGUAAUAACUGUUAUCUCACCGAUAUAAAGUUACGCUGAUAAUAGCAGUGUUUAGUACUUGAAAUAAAAAUCAUGGUCUACUUUCUCCUAAUAUAAUUCAUCACCGUACGCUGCACUGAUUUUUUGUUUUAAAUUUCAUAAUUGAUCACAAAACCUUGUGUCAUGUAAUAAGCACAGAGAAAACGCCAGUCCACCUAGCAAUGACCAUAAGACUUUUGGCUGUCUUCAAGAUGGAGUUCAACAAUUUAGUCAAAUCAGUUCCUGACCAGCUAAACUUUGGUUUGUACAUUGGACUGCAUGUGACUAGCAGUAACAGUGGUUGAUCAGGUCUUGAUCCACCAGGAGGUUUGGUCUUUGAGUGGGACAUAGGGGCAUUGACCUCAGAAAACAUCCUUCAGGUAUCUCCUCAGGGAAGGUUCCUUAAUGCUGUGAGGGGCUGUUGAUCCAAGGAAUUGAACUUGUCCCCUGCUUCCUUGUAUUGAACCUGUUUGCCUUCCAUUGCCCAGGCACUUUGACUACCAGUUCAGCACUUCCCACUAAAUAUAAUAAUUUUUUUUUAUAUAUUUUAUUCAAAACCUCAUGUAUAAAUAUUAUACAUAGGUAAGUAGUACAUAUAUUAAUAUGUAACAGUGGUACUGGCUAUGAGCAAUAAAUCAACAUUGUCGCUACUCAGUCUACUGAGUAACUACAACACACAUAAUGGCACUAAAACUAACCUAACACAACCUACACCCUGCUUCUAAGUAAAAUGCUACACAAGUACAAAGGUUUUUAUGAAAUAAUAUAAUGGUGCAAACACAGUAAUGCUUACACUCCUACCCCCCACAAGUUUAAACUGUCCACUUUCACGUAAUACUUUCUGUUACAUAUAAACAAGAAACAGCCCAGGCAGUCUAUUACACUAUACUACAGUGGUACCUCGAGUUACGAAUUUAAUUCGUUCCAGAAGGUUGUUCGAGUGCCGAUACCGAACGAAUUUGUUCCCAUAAGGAAUAAUCUAAAUUAGAUUAGUCCGUUUCAGACCCCCAAAAAUACACUUACAAAAACACUUACAAAAAUACAUUUACAUAAUUGUUAGAGUUGGGAGCUGUUUGAAACUCUAGGUACCACUGUAUAUAUACAAGACGUACCUAAUCAUACCGCUACUUGAAAAUAUUUAAGAAUACCUCACUGUUCUGACAAUGGUACAUUGCUCAUUUAAAAUUAUGCAAAAAAAAAAAAAAAAAAAAAAAAAAGAUAUAUAGGUAGACACGCAUGGUUACUUGGAACAAAAA